CCUACGGGAGGCAGCAGUGGGGAAUAUUGGGCAAUGGGCGCAAGCCUGACCCAGCAACGCCGCGUGAAGGAAGAAGGCUUUCGGGUUGUAAACUUCUUUUGACAGGGAAGAGUAGAAGACGGUACCUGUCGAAUAAGCCACGGCUAACUACGUGCCAGCAGCCGCGGUAAUACGUAGGUGGCAAGCGUUGUCCGGAUUUACUGGGUGUAAAGGGCGUGUAGCCGGGUUGACAAGUCAGAUGUGAAAUCCUGCGGCUUAACCGCAGAACUGCAUUUGAAACUGUUGGUCUUGAGUACUGGAGAGGCAGACGGAAUUCCUAGUGUAGCGGUGAAAUGCGUAGAUAUUAGGAGGAACACCAGUGGCGAAGGCAGUCUGCUAGACAGCAACUGACGGUGAGGCGCGAAAGCGUGGGGAGCAAACAGGAUUAGAUACCCUAGUAGUC
rnacentral:rRNA from 1 species